GGGGUUUCCACUUAGGUGGUCAGUAGUUAUUUUUAACUACCACACACUUUUUUCUCACUGUAUUUUCACCAUUUUAUAUACACACAGGUUUAUGUCCACUUACUUUGGCUAACUUCCUCCUGCCACUAAUGGUGUUAUGCAGCUGAAUGGUAUUCUAUUUGAUGGUCCUUGUUUCUGAAUCACUGUUUCUGUUAACUAUAUUUACUGUUUGUAUAAUGCCAGUCUAGCCUUGUUAACCAUAAGUCACUAUUACGGGUACUUAAACACCUUAAGUUCUGCGUAACACCUUUUGCUACUUGGUUGAUGAUUUGCACUGUUCUUUAUGUCUCUGUAUUACCAUGUACUUUCAAUAAAGG
rnacentral:lncRNA from 1 species